GCAGUCUGCAACUCGAGUGCAUGAAGCUGGAAUCGCUAGUAAUCGCGGAUCAGAAUGCCGCGGUGAAUACGUUCCCGGGUCUUGUACACACCGCCCGUCACACCAUGGGAGUCGGGAAUGCCCGAAGCCGGUGGCCCGAUCGAAAGAAGGGAGCCGUCGAAGGCAGGCCGGAUGACUGGGGUGAAGUCGUAACAAGGUAAC
rnacentral:rRNA from 1 species